rnacentral:misc_RNA from 1 species
GCAAAUUUUAGAUGAAUUAACAUAAAUAUACAUAUGUUUGAUAAUAUUUGGUAAGGGUACAUUUAUUGAUGGCAGAUUUCACUCAUUCCAUAAUUAAACUUUCUAAUCUCACAUGUUAUUUCUAUGUUUUUGUUGGUUGAUUAGAAAAUUCCAAUUUUGAAGUAACUUAAUUUUCUCCAUCAUCCCUACUCACUAGUUGCAUCACAUGUUGGAUCA